ensembl:lncRNA
UUUUUUUUUUUUUUUUUUAAUUUUCAGUAUUGCAUUGGAGAAUACUUCCAAGUAUUUAGGUUAUACAUAAAACUAAAUUGUUCUUUUAAAAAAGAAAACACACAGUCAACUGUGGUCUAAAAACAUUAAAUGAAAAAUACCAGAACUCCACAAUUGGUAAGAUUUACUUGAAUCAUUUAAUGAAAUCUUUUUUUUUGCAUUUUUAUUCUACUUUAUUCUUUUUUAAAAAAAUUUUAAUUAAUUUAUUUAUUUUUACUCUCCAAAUUUUAUUCCCUUCCCCGCCCACCUCACCAGACCUCUAAACUCCCUGGGGCCUCCAGUCUCUUGAGGGUUAGGUGCAUCUUCUCUGACUGAAUCCAGAUCCAGUAGUCCUCUGCUAUAUAUGUGUUGUUGUAAAAUUAUAAAAAUAAAAUGGCUUUCUUUUAUCCCACUAGGUCUGGCACUACAGUGCCCCAAGAUAUCUGCUAGAUAUCUUGCCAGAAACACACAUCCCAACUCCAUGGCGGCCCAGUGUCUCUGCUGCCACACAUUCUCCCAAAGUCAAAUAGCCACAAGAAAGAACAUAUGACCCAAUGACCUCUGAUCCCAUUGAUAAGAUAUAAUUGCGUACCUAAACAUACAAAGUCCUGUACAUGUCCAUCCCUUAAGAACAUUCAUAACAACCUGUAAAGGUACAGCGUGGAAUCUUAACAUCAGCCUCCAUGUUCUCUCAGUGGCUUCUCCUCCACAGUCUCCUCCAGUCUCCCGUCCUUUCCAUUCCAGUCUCCUCCUCUUCCCUCAAACUUUUCUCCCGCCCAUCCUUCCUUCUCGUCCAAUGACAGGCCACAUCCUAUCUUGUACCUGCCUCACCUGUAUGACAUCAUCCCACAUAUAUGUGUUGGGGGCCUCAUAUCAGCUGGUGUAUGCUGCCUGGUUGGUGGUCCAGUGUCUGAGAGACCUCGGGGAUCCAGACUGCUGGUCCUCCUACAGGGUCACCCUCCUCCUCAGCUUCCUCCAGCUUUUCCCUAAUUCAACCACAGGAGUCAGAAGCUUCUAUUCAUUAGUUGGGCGUGUCACCUGUCUGUGAAUCAUCCUUUUGUCACCGAGUCAAGCUAUGUAUUCUAUCUUUAAUGACUGUCCCUUUUGUCAGGUGCAAUGCUUGUGAUUGAGAAACUCUUUAUUUACUGAAUGUGGCUCAAAACCACAAGAGCAAUAAUACUGGCAAUUUAGAUAUGCUAAAGAAAAGCCAUAAGGUCAAUCUUUCAUAUAAAACCUCAUGUAAACGUUCAUAACUUAAUGUUGAAGGAAAAAAAAUCAUUUGCUGGAGUUAGGAGGAGCAAGUUUCUUCAUGAUGCUGGGAAGAAGAAAACAUUCAUGCUAGUUUUGAUUUUAAUUCAAACUAACAGUUACAGCUACAUUACAUGGCUUUAAGUAGAAGAAGCUGAAUUUGUGAACAUAUGUACACACACACACACACACACACACACGGUUCAGAUAUACAUUGUUUUCAGUUAUGUAAUGGAGAUCUUGGAAUGUAUCACUAAAUGAUGAGGGAAUUUACUAAUUUACUAAUUAAAAGAUGAAAAUGGCUUUUAUUUUGUUGUUUGCAUCUUUCUUUAUUUCAAACUUUUUUCUUUGAAACAAUUAUGUACAUUGUAGGAAGUUCCCAAAAUAGUAUGAAAUUCCAUUCACUUUUCACCUGUUUUUCCUAGUUGAAAUACUUUAUUUAACUAUGAUAAAAUAUGAUAGAAUUAGGAAAUUACCAAUGACAAUAUAAUUUUUUUCUUUUUUUAAUUUUAUUUUUCUUGGAUAUUUUAUGUAUUUAUAUUUCUAAUGUUAUCCCCUUUCCCCACUCUCCCAUACCCUCUCCCCUCUCCCCCUGCUUCUCUGAAGAUGCUCCCACUCCAGCCUCAAUGCCCUGGCAUUACCCUACAUUGGGAAAAUGAGCCGUCACAGGACCAAGUGCUUUUCCUUCUAUUGAUGCUGGACCAUGCUACAUAUGCAGCUAGAACCAUGGGUCCCUCCAUGUGUACUCACUGGUUGGUGGUUUAGUCACUGGGAGCUCUGGUAGAGUCUGGUUGUUGAUAUUGUUUUUCUUAUGGGGUUGCAAACCCCUUCAGCUCCUUCAGGCCUUUCUCUAACUCCUCCAUUGGGUCCCUGUACUCAGUCUGAUGGUUAGCUGCAAGCAUCCUCAUCUGUAUUGGUAAGGCUCUGACAGCCUCUCAGGAGACACCUAUAUCUAGCUCCUGUUAGCAAACAUUUCUUGGCAUCAGCAUUAGUGACUGGGUUGGUAGCUACAUAUAGGAUGGAUUCCCCAGGUGGGGCAGUCUCUGGAUGACCAUUUCUUCUGUGCCUGCUCCACUUUGUCCCUGUAUUUCCUCCUGUUAAUAUUUUGUUCUCCCUUUUAACAAGGAAUGAAGAAUCCACAUUUUGGUCUUCCUUCUUCUUGAGCUUCAUAUGAUCUGUGAAUUUUUUCUUUGGCAUUCUACAUUUCUGGGCUAAUAUCCAUUUAUCAAUGAUGCAUACCGUGUGUGUUUUUCUGUGAUUGGAUUACCUCACUCAGGAUGAUAUUUUCCAGUUCCAUCCUUUGCCUAUGAAUUUCAUAAAGUCAUUGUUUUUGAUAGCUGAGUAGUACUCCAUUGUGUAAAUGUACCACAUUUUCUGUAUCCAUUCCUCUGUUGAAGGGCAUCUGGGUUCUUUCCAGCUUCUGGCUACUAUAAAAAAGGCUGCUAUGAACAUAUUGGAGCAUGUGUCUUUGUUAUAUGUUGGUACAUCUUUUGAAUAUAUGCCCAGAAGUGGUAUAGCUGGGUCCUCAGGUUGUACUAUGUCCAAUUUUCAGAGGAGCUGCCAGACUGAUUUCCUGAGUGGAUGUGGCAGCUUGUAAUCCCACCAAUAAUGGAGGAGUGUUCCUAUUUCUUCACGUCCUCACCAGCACCUGCUGUCACCUGAGUUUUUGUCUUAGCCAUUCUGACUGGUGUGAGGUGGUAUCUCAGGGUUAUUUUGAUUUGAUUAAUGAUUUAAAACAUUUCCUUAGCUGCUUCUCAGCAAUUUGAUAUUCCUCAGUUGAGAAUGUGUUUAGCUCUGUACUCCCUUUUUUAAUAGGAUGAUUUGAUUCUCUGGUGUCUAACUUCUUGAGGUCCCAUUUGUUGAUUCUUGAUUUUAGAGCAUAAGCCAUUGGUGUUCUAUUCAGGAAAAUUUCCCCUAUGUCUCUGUGUUCCAGACUCUUCCCCACUUUCUCUUCCAUUGGUUUCAGUGUAUCUGGUUUUAUGUGGAGGUAUUUGAUCCACUUGGACUUGAGCUUUGUAUAAGGAGAUAAGAAUGGGUCAAUUUGCAGUCUUCUAUGUGCUGACCUCCAGUUAAACUAGCACCAUGUGUUAAAAAUGCUGUCUUUUUUCCAUUGGAUAGUUUUUGCUCCUUUAUCAAAGAUCAAGUGACCAUAGGUGUGUGGGUUCAUGUUUGGGUCUUCAAUUCUAUUCCAUUGAUCUACCUGCCUGUCUCUGUACCAACACAUUCCCAUAUUUACCACGUAUGUGUCUUUAUAAUUUUUUGACAUUUUAUUUUAAAUGUAUGACCACAUUUAAGAUAGAGAAUUUUGUGUUAUCAGAAAGAAAAUCUUUAACACUAGCCUUUUUUAUUCAUUCAUACAGUCUUAUAUCUAACUACUUGAAAAUGCUAAUCUCUUCACGUCCAUAGUUUUUCUAUUUCAGGAAUAAAAUAUAGAAUUAUGUGUCAUAUAAUCCUCUGAAAUUGACUCUACAUUAUACAUAGUGCCUUUUGAUUCAUCAACCAGUAAAUGUAGAAUUGGUUCCUCUUGUUUUAUUCACAAAUGAUAUUUAAUUGUAUAGAGUGUGCCAGACUAUUUAAUGUUUAUCCUUUGGAGCAUAUUUGGGCUACUCUCAAUUUUCAGCUCUUAUUGGUACAAAGUUUUGUGUCAAUGUCAACUUUAAUGUCUUUAAUAAGAAAUACUCCAAACUGAGCAUUAGAAUACAUAACAAGUGUCCAUUUAGUCAUUUUUUUAAAUUGCCGGAGUGUUUUCUUGAGUAUUAAUAUGAUACCAUUUUACAUUUCACAGCUACCAAGUAUCUCUGAAUCUUCCCUUGAUGACACUGACAUUUUGAUUUUAGGUGUUUUGAAUAAUUCUAAAGUAUCAUCUUGGAUUUAACUGCCAUUUCCUCAUGGAUAAAGAUGUAAUUAUUUUCUAUUCUGAUGUUCAUUUUUUAUUGCUGUUGCUUAUUAUCUAUUUGGAUUAUAUUAGUUCUACUGAGAUUUGUACAUGUUAAAAUGUUCUGUAUUCCUGAUUAUUUACAAAGCAUCUAUUUAUAAUGUCUGUUUCUUUU